rnacentral:rRNA from 1 species
GACGAACGCUGGCGGCGUGCUUAACACAUGCAAGUCGAACGGAAAGGCCCUGCUUUUGUGGGGUGCUCGAGUGGCGAACGGGUGAGUAACACGUGAGUAACCUGCCCUUGACUUUGGGAUAACUUCAGGAAACUGGGGCUAAUACCGGAUAGGAGCUCCUGCUGCAUGGUGGGGGUUGGAAAGUUUCGGCGGUUGGGGAUGGACUCGCGGCUUAUCAGCUUGUUGGUGGGGUAGUGGCUUACCAAGGCUUUGACGGGUAGCCGGCCUGAGAGAGUGACCGGCCACAUUGGGACUGAGAUACGGCCCAGACUCCUACGGGAGGCAGCAGUGGGGAAUAUUGCACAAUGGGCGGAAGCCUGAUGCAGCAACGCCGCGUGCGGGAUGACGGCCUUCGGGUUGUAAACCGCUUUCGCCUGUGACGAAGCGUGAGUGACGGUAAUGGGUAAAGAAGCACCGGCUAACUACGUGCCAGCAGCCGCGGUGAUACGUAGGGUGCGAGCGUUGUCCGGAUUUAUUGGGCGUAAAGGGCUCGUAGGUGGUUGAUCGCGUCGGAAGUGUAAUCUUGGGGCUUAACCCUGAGCGUGCUUUCGAUACGGGUUGACUUGAGGAAGGUAGGGGAGAAUGGAAUUCCUGGUGGAGCGGUGGAAUGCGCAGAUAUCAGGAGGAACACCAGUGGCGAAGGCGGUUCUCUGGGCCUUUCCUGACGCUGAGGAGCGAAAGCGUGGGGAGCGAACAGGCUUAGAUACCCUGGUAGUCCACGCUGUAAACGGUGGGUACUAGGUGUGGGGUCCAUUCCACGGGUUCCGUGCCGUAGCUAACGCUUUAAGUACCCCGCCUGGGGAGUACGGCCGCAAGGCUAAAACUCAAAGGAAUUGACGGGGCCCCGCACAAGCGGCGGAGCAUGCGGAUUAAUUCGAUGCAACGCGUAGAACCUUACCUGGGUUUGACAUGGAUCGGGAGUGCUCAGAGAUGGGUGUGCCUCUUUUGGGGUCGGUUCACAGGUGGUGCAUGGCUGUCGUCAGCUCGUGUCGUGAGAUGUUGGGUUAAGUCCCGCAACGAGCGCAACCCUUGUUCACUGUUGCCAGCACGUUAUGGUGGGGACUCAGUGGAGACCGCCGGGGUCAACUCGGAGGAAGGUGGGGAUGACGUCAAGUCAUCAUGCCCCUUAUGUCCAGGGCUUCACGCAUGCUACAAUGGCUGGUACAGAGAGUGGCGAGCCUGUGAGGGUGAGCGAAUCUCGGAAAGCCGGUCUCAGUUCGGAUUGGGGUCUGCAACUCGACCUCAUGAAGUCGGAGUCGCUAGUAAUCGCAGAUCAGCAACGCUGCGGUGAAUACGUUCCCGGG